rnacentral:lncRNA from 1 species
UGACUAUUACACAAAAAUAGAAACGUGUAAUAGACUUGAAAGCUCUGUACUGAAAAAGCAGAAUUGAGAAUGCAAUUGAAUGUUUUCAAAAGUUAAGAAAUGUUAUGUAUAUGGCAGUCCAAACAGUUUUAAUCAUUAUUUGCUUACUUUUUGAUAGUACUUUUAUGUACUUUUUGUGUGUAAAUGAUGGACUUCUUCUCUACUUAUGUUCUCUUUGUAGCAGUCACCAUUUACAUGAGUGUUGAAUUUGUUCAAAGAUGUCAAUGCAGCUGAUUACUUAACAUUACUUUUCCAUCAUCUCCCAAGUAGGAAAAGAAAACAACAAAAAUCAGCAGGAACAAACUAACUCAUGAAUAUGGAAGUUCUUAGAUUUUCACUAGCUACAGAAGAGUUCCAGUGCUUUCCAGUAUUUCCAUAUGCUGAGUCAAAUUGGCCUGAGAGAAUGGACAAGAAAAACUGUAGAAUCACUGUCUCGCUCCAGUUUAUAGGAAGGAGGCAAGUUUCUUUUGAUAUAUUACACCCAGCAUGCAAUUAAGAAACAAUGGUUCAAAUGUUGGUCCAACCAGUUUAUUACAAAGAAUAAUCAGCCGAGAAAAUGGGGAGGGGAGAGCGGUAACUACCAAGAAUUAGGGUGAUGGGGAUGGGAAAGCGGGCAAUAGGAAAGGUAGGAAGAAAGCAAGAAUUGAAUAAAGUGGGGAUAAUCACUACCUGGAUGCA